rnacentral:misc_RNA from 1 species
CCCCAAUAUCAGCGCAUCCUGCUUCGCGGGGCGGGUGUUGGGGUUAGAGCCACCACUUAAGUGGUGGUUGUGUGGCAGGCUUCAAGAAGGCCGCCGAGUGGUAGUUUUGGAGGGAAAAUGUACCAAGUUAAAAAGUCAGGCGAGCGAGAGGAUUCGUCGGGUCCGGAAGGUCGGGCGAGUAAAGAAUUUACCCAAGUCUAAAAUACCGGCGGCAGCGUACCCGGGACUCCAAGUAAGUUGGGGAAAGAAGUUGGCGUAUUUUCUUUUCCAACUUAUUUUUCCAACCAACUUAACUUGACCAACUUACCCGCCUGAAUUGCCUGAGCUCCCGGGUAGGCUGCGGUUGAUUUUUGGGCUUGGCAGGAAAGUAAAAGAAUUUCACCAAGUCCAAAAGUUAAUCGUAGCUUACCCGGGAGCUCAGGCAAGUAAAAAUCUCACCAAGUCAAAAAAUCAACUAUAACCUACCCGGGAGCCCAGGCAGGUCAGGCGGGUAAAUUCCGCCAAGUUGGCAGGGAACUAACUGAUUGUAAAUUGAUUCAAGCAAAUCCGCCGAGUCCACACAUCAGUCGCAGCCUACCCGGUAGGCCUGUGUGUUUCCCGUGCGAUUUCCCGUAAAGACUAAAAAGUCAAGUGUUUUAGUACUUGACUUAUAUAGGCGUGAGUUAUUUUUUUCAUUUUCCUAUAUAAAUAAAUUUUGCGGAAAAUAAAAAGUAGUAUAUAAGCACUUAGCAGCAGAGGUAAACUCUUAAAGUAGUCGGCGGGUAUAUAAAAGAGAGAGGGCUGGACACGCGUUGUGUUACGUAUUUCUGCCGCGCCCAACACUUUUAGCUUUAGGGUAGGCUGCUUGUUUAGAGGCGCGUAGAAUUAGAUGGUCUCUUAAGUGAGGGGAUUUCUCUGCUGGCCGUUACUUAUGAUCCGGGAGUCCGUGGUGGUGAAGUCAACUGUAAGGCUUAUGUGUGUGUGUGCCGGGGCCUUGUAAGUCCCGACCAGGAACCUUACAGGUCACGUGCUGAUACGAUAAGAUAGAUAAGAUAUGCGGCACGUGUAUCGGCACGUGCUAAUACAGAGUAAUGAUAAGAUCGAUAAGAUACCUGGUAUAAUAAGUAAGAUACCUGCACGUGCCUAGUCACGGAGACUUACACGUGUCCUGCUGCCAAGAUCCCCGAGGUCCCCGAUAUUACCAACCUCGCCGACUACUCCUGGUGUAAUAUGCUGGUGCAGUUGUAUAUAAUUCCUUACUGGUCUUAAUAAUAGUAUACUUGUUGAUCGCGAUGCACCACUCACUUGUGGUGCGGUUGUGCGGCUGUGCUGGCGCAAUUGUGGUGGUGCACUUACUCUACAACAGUGCCGGUACUUACGGUCACAUACAAUUUCCUAGUAUUUUGGCGUAGUUGUGGUGGAGGGUUACCCGGGACCACGGUGCAUUUUUCCGUUUUUUCCAUUUUUUCAAAAUCGACGACCAAAAUGUUGGUAGGUCUGGGUUGCCCCGCCGGCCAAUAGAAAUUUGCAUGGCGCUACUAUAGGGUAGGUACAGGGUAGGCCAUACCGGUACUUGCGGUCGCGCACAAAUCCCUAGCAGCCCGAAGUACCCCCGCGCGCGGGCAACUUCAAACCGCUAUAGCUGCUUCCAGCGGCACCGCACACAACUGUGAGGACCACCAUUCGAUUCUUCUCGCCGAGCUGCAUCGAUUGAGCCCGGGUUGCCAAAAAGUCGGGUGUUUUGGUAUUUGAUUUGUAUGGGCGUGAGUCGAUUUUUUUGUUUUCCCAUACAAAUGAAUUUUGCGGAAAAUAAAAAAUGGAACACGAGCGCCCGGUGGCGGAGGUGGACCCUCGAGGUGGUCGGUGGGUAUGUGAGAAGGGGGCGUCGAAAGAUGCCGGGACAGCUGGGUCUUCGCUGAAAGGCAGGAUUUCCGGUGAGUCACCGCCCUCUCUGUACCAUAUCUUGCCGAGCCCCAGUGCUUGAGUGGCCUCCUGAACACGCCUGCAGAAGCUCUUUUACAGGCUGGGAGGUCACACUGGGGAUUCAAACUCCACGAAGUCGGCGGCUACGGCCGUGCGGCGUACUGGUUAUACCUCGUGGCAGUGGGAGGCACCCGCCUCUUACCGCUCAGGAGAUGGGUUCUGUGGGCUGCUGGCCGCUGGCCAACACGCCGUAAAUCAGAAUAACGGGAGGCAACCACGGGUAGCUGACGCCGAAAUGGCAGAGGCUGCACGGAGCGUCCUCCUCUUAGGGCACCUAUACCGCACUUUACGGUGCGUGUGGACGGCUGCGCCAAGGGAAUUAGGAGGGGGAAAGCGGAUUUGCCGCUGGGCGGUCUCUCCCGGUCAAACGGGCAGGGCACCUCCCGGCGCGCAGCACCCUUUCGAGUGGGGGAAAGGUGUGCCGACCAGUAACUUGGACUAUUCUCUCCGGCGCCCGAGCUAGGGCGUCGGUAGGCCAACCCCGGCGAACGAUAGU